rnacentral:misc_RNA from 1 species
GUGGGAGGGGGCUUGCUCCCGAUAGCAGUCAUUCAGCCAAUGCAUGUGUGACUGGCCCACCGCAAUCGGGAGCAAGCCCCCUCCCAC